rfam:Nicotiana sylvestris Nsyl_contig47268, whole genome shotgun sequence.
AUGGAUAUGAUGACUAUUUCCCCAGAUGAUCGAAGCUGAAAUUACUGAGCGCUUUUUAUGUGUUUUCUCCCUUUUAGGGAGAAAAUCCAAGCCAGAUAUUCUGAUCCAU